CUGUUGCAAUAGAUGGAACACCAAGAUUACCACCAAAACCACCACCAAUGCCACCGUCGCCAGCACCACUACCUCUAAUACCACCAAGACUACUACCAUGCUACCAAGAACACCAAUACCACCGCUAAGACCACUAAUACCACCAUCAAGACCACCAAGACCACCAACAUCACCAACAAUACCAACACUACCACCAAUGCCACUAAUACCUGCACCAAGGCCGCCAAGACUGCCAACACCACUACCAAUGCCACCAAUACCAAUACCAAGACCACCGAUACCACCACAAGACCACCAAUACCGACA
rnacentral:lncRNA from 1 species